rnacentral:rRNA from 1 species
CGCGUAGGUGGCGUAUUAAGUUGGGUGUGAAAGCCCCGGCUCAACCGGGAAUUGCGCUCAAAACUGGUAUGCUUGAGCAGGACAGGGGGAAGCGGAACUGUGGGUGAAGCGGUGAAAUGCGUUGAUAUCCACAGGAACGCCGGUGGCGAAAGCGGCUUCCUGGGUCCUUGCUGACACUGAGGCGCGAAAGCUAGGGGAGCGAACG